GAUGAACGCUGGCGGCGUGCCUAAUACAUGCAAGUCGAGCGAACAGACGAGGAGCUUGCUCCUCUGACGUUAGCGGCGGACGGGUGAGUAACACGUGGAUAACCUACCUAUAAGACUGGGAUAACUUCGGGAAACCGGAGCUAAUACCGGAUAAUAUAUUGAACCGCAUGGUUCAAUAGUGAAAGACGGUUUUGCUGUCACUUAUAGAUGGAUCCGCGCCGCAUUAGCUAGUUGGUAAGGUAACGGCUUACCAAGGCAACGAUGCGUAGCCGACCUGAGAGGGUGAUCGGCCACACUGGAACUGAGACACGGUCCAGACUCCUACGGGAGGCAGCAGUAGGGAAUAUUCCGCAAUGGGCGAAAGCCUGACGGAGCAACGCCGCGUGAGUGAUGAAGGUCUUCGGAUCGUAAAACUCUGUUAUUAGGGAAGAACAGAUGUGUAAGUAACUAUGCACGUCUUGACGGUACCUAAUCAGAAAGCCACGGCUAACUACGUG
rnacentral:rRNA from 1 species